UACGUAGGGUGCGAGCGUUGUCCGGAAUUAUUGGGCGUAAAGGGCUCGUAGGCGGUUUGUCGCGUCGGGAGUGAAAUCCCCCCGCUUAACCUGGGAACUGCGUCUGAUACUGGACGGCUUGAGUAUGGGAGAGGAACGUAGAAUUCCAGGUGUAGCGGUGAAAUGCGUAGAUAUCUGGAGGAAUACCGGUGGCGAAGGCGGCGUUCUGGACCAUUACUGACACUGAACCGCGAAAAGCUAGGGGAGCAAACGG
rnacentral:rRNA from 1 species